rnacentral:rRNA from 1 species
UACGUAGGAUCCUAGCGUUGUCCGGAUUUACUGGGCGUAAAGGGUGCGCAGGCGGACUUAUAAGUCAGACGUGAAAUCUCGGCGCUUAACGCCGAAACUGCUUUUGAUACUGUAGGUCUUGAAUCAGCGAGAGACGUGUGGAAUUCCGAGUGUAGCAGUGAAAUGUGUAGAUAUCCGGAAGAACACCAGUGGCGAAGGCAGCACGUUGGCGCUCGAUUGACGCUCAGGCACGAAAGCAUGGGGAUCAAACAGG